rnacentral:rRNA from 1 species
CAGAGGGUGCAAGCGUUAAUCGGAAUUACUGGGCGUAAAGCGUGCGUAGACGGUCAUGUAAGUCGGGUGUGAAAGCCCCGGGCUCAACCUGGGAAUUGCAUUCGAGACUGCAUGGCUAGGAUGCGGAAGAGGGAAGCGGAAUUUCCGGUGUAGCGGUGAAAUGCGUAGAUAUCGGAAGGAACACCAGUGGCGAAAGCGGCUUCCUGGUCCAGCAUCGACGUUCAGGCACGAAAGCGUGGGGAGCAAACAGGAUUAGAUACCCUGGUAGUCCACGCCAUAAACGAUGAGAACUAGACGUUGAGAGGGUAAGCCUCCCAGUGUCGUAGCUAACGCGCUAAGUUCUCCGCCUGGGGAGUACGGCCGCAAGGUUG